UACGUAGGUGGCGAGCGUUGUCCGGAUUUACUGGGCGUAAAGGGAGCGUAGGCGGGCUUUUAAGUGAGAUGUGAAAUACUCGGGCUCAACUUGAGUGCUGCAUUUCAAACUGGAAGUCUAGAGUGCAGGAGAGGAGGAUGGAAUUCCUAGUGUAGCGGUGAAAUGCGUAGAGAUUAGGAAGAACACCAGUGGCGAAGGCGAUUCUCUGGACUGUAACUGACGCUGAGGCUCGAAAGCGUGGGGAGCAAACAGG
rnacentral:rRNA from 1 species